UACAGAGGAUGCAAGCGUUAUCCGGAAUGAUUGGGCGUAAAGCGUCUGUAGGUGGCUUUUUAAGUCCGCCGUCAAAUCCCAGGGCUCAACUCUGGACAGGCGGUGGAAACUACCAAGCUGGAGUACGGUAGGGGCAGAGGGAAUUUCCGGUGGAGCGGUGAAAUGCGUUGAUAUCCUAAGGAACACCGGUGGCGAAAGCGGCGUACUGGGUCUUUUCUGACGCUGAGGCACGAAAGCCAGGGUAGCGAACGGG
rnacentral:rRNA from 1 species